rnacentral:rRNA from 1 species
UACGGAGGGUGCAAGCGUUAUCCGGAUUUACUGGGUUUAAAGGGUGCGUAGGCGGGCCUUUAAGUCAGUGGUGAAAGCUCCGAGCUUAACUCGGAAACUGCCAUUGAUACUAUUGGUCUUGAAUUCGGUCGAGGUUGGCGGAAUGUGUCGUGUAGCGGUGAAGUGCUUAGAUAUGACACAGAACACCGAUUGCGAAGGCAGCUAGCUAGACCGACAUUGACGCUGAGGCACGAAAGCGUGGGGAUCAAACAGG